AUUGGCCCUAGUAACGGCGAGUGAAGCGGCAACAGCUCAAAUUUGAAAUCUGGCUCUUUUAGAGUCCGAGUUGUAAUUUGCAGAGGGCGCUUUGGCUUUGGCAGCGGUCCAAGUUCCUUGGAACAGGACGUCACAGAGGGUGAGAAUCCCGUACGUGGUCGCUGGCUAUUGCCGUGUAAAGCCCCUUCUACGAGUCGAGUUGUUUGGGAAUGCAGCUCUUAAUGGGAGGUACAUUUCUUCUAAAGCUAAAUAUUGGCCAGAGACCGAUAGCGCACAAGUAGAGUGAUCGAAAGAUGAAAAGCACUUUGUAAAGAGAGUCAAACAGCACGUGAAAUUGUUGAAAGGGAAGCGCUUGCAGCCAGACUUGCUUACAGUUGCUCAUCCGGGCUUUUGCCCGGUGCACUCUUCUGUAGGCAGGCCAGCAUCAGUUUGGGCGGUAAGAUAAAGGUCUCUGUCACGUACCUCUCUUCGGGGAGGCCUUAUAGGGGAGACGACAUACUACCAGGCUGGACUGAGGUCCGCGCAUCUUCUAGGAUGCUGGCGUAAUGGCUGUAAGCGGCCCGUCUUGAAACACGGACCAAGGAGUCUAACAUCUAUUCCAGUGUUUGGGUGUCAAGCCCGAGCGCGUAAUGAAAGUGAACGGACGUAGGAACCCCCAAGGGUGCACUAUCGACCGAUCCUGAUGUCUUCCGAAGGAUUUGAGUAAGACCAUGGCUGUUGGGAACCCGAAAGAUGGUUAACUAUGGUUGAAUAAGGGGGAAACCCAAGGAAACUCUUUUUGGAAGCUCCCAACGGGUUCUUACGUGCAAAUCCAUCUUCCAAAUUGGGGCUAAGGGGCCAAAAAAUAAUUCGAAUUUUUUGGGACUGGUACUGCAUCUUUCCCGACGAAAAAAAAAACCUAUGUUGUCUU
rnacentral:rRNA from 1 species